rnacentral:rRNA from 1 species
GAACGAGAAAGUGGAGCAAUCCAUGAGUAAAGUGGCGACCGGGUGAGUAACACGUGACUAACCUACCCUCGAGUGUGGAAUAACAUCGGGAAACCGAUGCUAAUACCGCAUAACAUCGCAAGAUCAAAGCAGCAAUGCGCUUGGGGAGGGGGUCGCGGCUGAUUAGCUAGUUGGCGGGGUAACGGCCCACCAAGGCGAAGAUCGGUAUCCGGCCUGAGAGGGCGCACGGACACACUGGAACUGAAACACGGUCCAGACUCCUACGGGAGGCAGCAGUGGGGAAUUUUGCGCAAUGGGGGAAACCCUGACGCAGCAACGCCGCGUGGAGGAUGAAGCCCCUUGGGGCGUAAACUCCUUUCGACCAAGACGAUAAUGACGGUACUGGUGGAAGAAGCACCGGCUAACUCUGUGCCAGCAGCCGCGGUAAUACAGAGGGUGCGAGCGUUGUUCGGAAUUAUUGGGCGUAAAGGGCGCGUAGGCGGUGCCACAAGUCACUUGUGAAAUCCCCGGGCUUAACUCGGAGCCUGCAGGCGAAACUGUGGUGCUGGAGUAUGGGAGAGGUGCGUGGAAUUCCCGGUGUAGCGGUGAAAUGCGUAGAUAUCGAGAGGAACACCUGUGGCGAAAGCGGCGCACUGGACCAUAACUGACGCUGAGGCGCGGAAGCUAGGGGA